rnacentral:rRNA from 1 species
AACGAACGCUGGCGGCAGGCCUAACACAUGCAAGUCGAGCGAACCCUUCGGGGUUAGCGGCGGACGGGUUAGUAACGCGUGGGAAUAUACCCUUUGGUACGGAAUAGCCUCGGGAAACUGAGAGUAAUACCGUAUGUGCCCUUCGGGGAAAGAUUAUCGCCAAAGGAUUAGCCCGCGUUGGAUUAGAUAGUUGGUGGGGUAAUGGCCUACCAAGUCUACGAUCCAUAGCUGGUUUGAGAGGAUGAUCAGCAACACUGGGACUGAGACACGGCCCAGACUCCUACGGGAGGCAGCAGUGGGGAAUCUUAGACAAUGGGCGCAAGCCUGAUCUAGCCAUGCCGCGUGGACGAUGAAGGCCUUAGGGUUGUAAAGUCCUUUCAGAUGGGAAGAUAAUGACGGUACCAUCAGAAGAAGCCCCGGCUAACUCCGUGCCUGCAGCCGCGGUAAAGUGACUACUG